CCUACGGGAGGCAGCAGUGGGGAAUAUUGGGCAAUGGGCGCAAGCCUGACCCAGCAACGCCGCGUGAAGGAAGAAGGCUUUCGGGUUGUAAACUUCUUUUGUCAGGGACGAAGCAAGUGACGGUACCUGACGAAUAAGCCACGGCUAACUACGUGCCAGCAGCCGCGGUAAUACGUAGGUGGCAAGCGUUAUCAGGAUUUACUGGGUGUAAAGGGCGUGUAGGCGGGACUGCAAGUCAGAUGUGAAAACCACGGGCUCAACCUGUGGCCUGCAUUUGAAACUGUAGUUCGUGAGUACUGGAGAGGCAGAUGGAAUUCCAAGGGUAGCGGUGAAAUGCGUAGAUAUGAGGAGGAACACCAGUGGCGAAGGCGGUCUGCUGGACAGCAACUGACGCUGAGGCGCGAAAGCGUGGGGAGCAAACAGGAUUAGAUACCCGGGUAGUC
rnacentral:rRNA from 1 species